rnacentral:rRNA from 1 species
GAGGAAUAUUGGUCAAUGGACGGAAGUCUGAACCAGCCAAGUCGCGUGAAGGAUGAAGGUUCUAUGGAUUGUAAACUUCUUUUGUACAGGGGUAAAACGCUCUACGUGUAGAGCCUUGCAAGUACUGUACGAAUAAGCAUCGGCUAACUCCGUGCCAGCAGCCGCGGUAAUACGGAGGAUGCGAGCGUUAUCCGGAUUUAUUGGGUUUAAAGGGUGCGUAGGCGGUUUAUUAAGUCAGCGGUGAAAGUUUGAGGCUCAACCUUAAAAUUGCCGUUGAAACUGGUUAACUUGAGUGUAGAUGAAGUAGGCGGAAUUAGUGGUGUAGCGGUGAAAUGCAUAGAUAUCACUAGGAACUCCGAUUGCGAAGGCAGCUUACUAAGGUACAACUGACGCUGAUGCACGAAAGCGUGGGUAUCAAAC